CCUACGUGAGUCAGCAGUGGGGAAUAUUGGUCAAUGGGCGCAAGCCUGACCCAGCAACGCCGCGUGAAGGAAGACGGCUUUCGGGUUGUAAACUUCUUUUCUCAGGGACGAAGAAAGUGACAGUACCUGAGGAAUACGCCACGGCUAACUACGUGCCAGCAGCCGCUGUAAUACGUAGGUCGCAAGCGUUAUCCGGAUUUCCUGGGUGUAAAGGGCGUGUAGGCGGGAAAGCAAGUCAGAUGGGAAAACCAUGGGCUCAACCUGUGGCCUGCAUUUGAAACUGUUUUUCUUGAGUACUGGAGAGGCAGACGGAAUUCGUAGUGUAGCGGUGAAAUGCGUAGAUAUUAGGAGGAACACCAGUGGCGAAGGCAGUCUGCUGGACAGCAACUGACGCUGAGGCGCGAAAGCGUGGGGAGCAAACAGGAUUAGAUACCCUGGUAGUC
rnacentral:rRNA from 1 species